AGCUUACUUCCAAGUGUGAAGACUGGUUCUAAAGAGUCCACAAUAUCAAGGUCCCACACUUCAAUAACAGGGGUCAUAUUUCCCACAGCAAUAUAAUUUCCUACAGGAGGAAAUGAGAUCCACAAUGGGCCAUGGGAUUAAAAUGGCCUAAUCUACAGACUUCCUGAAGGCAGCCUUAAAGAUUGUGAAGAGUUCCAGAAAGCCACGCUACAAAAUGGAGUAAGUGACAAGAUUUUAUUUGAGAGAAAGAGAGCACGAGCAAGAGAGGCAGAGGGAAAGAGACAAGCAGACUCCCUGCUGAGCGGGGAGCCCGACACAUGGCAUGAUCCCAGGACGCCGAGAUCAUGACCUGAGCUGAAG